rnacentral:rRNA from 1 species
AGUGAACGCUGGCGGUAGGCCUAACACAUGCAAGUCGAACGGCAGCACAGUAAGAGCUUGCUCUUACGGGUGGCGAGUGGCGGACGGGUGAGGAAUACAUCGGAAUCUACUUUUUCGUGGGGGAUAACGUAGGGAAACUUACGCUAAUACCGCAUACGACCUACGGGUGAAAGCAGGGGAUCUUCGGACCUUGCGCGAUUGAAUGAGCCGAUGUCGGAUUAGCUAGUUGGCGGGGUAAAGGCCCACCAAGGCGACGAUCCGUAGCUGGUCUGAGAGGAUGGUCGGCGACACUGGAACUGAGACACGGUCCAGACUCCUACGGGAGGCAGCAGUGGGGAAUAGUGGACAAUGGGCGCAAGCCUGAUCCAGCCAGACCGCGUGGGUGAAGAAGGCCUUCGGGUUGUAAAGCCCUUUUGUUGGGAAAGAAAAGCAGCAGGUUAAUACCCCGCUGUUCUGACGGUACCCAAAGAAGAAGCACCGGCUAACUUCGUG